CCUACGGGUGGCAGCAGUGAGGAAUAUUGGUCAAUGGACGAGAGUCUGAACCAGCCAAGUAGCGUGAAGGAUGACUGCCCUAUGGGUUGUAAACUUCUUUUAUAUGGGAAUAAAAUGUUCCACGUGUGGGAUUUUGUAUGUACCAUAUGAAUAAGGAUCGGCUAACUCCGUGCCAGCAGCCGCGGUAAUACGGAGGAUCCGAGCGUUAUCCGGAUUUAUUGGGUUUAAAGGGAGCGUAGGUGGAUUGUUAAGUCAGUUGUGAAAGUUUGCGGCUCAACCGUAAAAUUGCAGUUGAAACUGGCAGUCUUGAGUACAGUAGAGGUGGGCGGAAUUCGUGGUGUAGCGGUGAAAUGCUUAGAUAUCACGAGGAACUCCGAUUGCGAAGGCAGUUCACUGGACUGCAACUGACACUGAGGCUCGAAAGUGUGGGUAUCAAACAGGAUUAGAUACCCGUGUAGUC
rnacentral:rRNA from 1 species